UACGUAGGGUGCGAGCGUUAAUCGGAAUUACUGGGCUUAAAGGGUGCGUAGGCGGUGCAGCAAGUCGGGAGUGAAAUCCCACAGCUCAACUGUGGAAUUGCUUUCGAUACUGCUGUGCUUGAGUGAGACAGAGGUAAGCGGAACUUAGGGUGGAGCGGUGAAAUGCGUUGAUAUCCUAAGGAACACCGGUGGCGAAGGCGGCUUACUGGGUCUCUACUGACGCUGAUGCACGAAAGCCAGGGUAGCGAACGGG
rnacentral:rRNA from 1 species